UGCAAGUCGAGGGGUAACAGGAAAGCUUGCUUUUGCUGACGACCGGCGCACGGGUGCGUAACGCGUAUGCAACCUACCUCAUACUGGAGGAUAGCCCCUGGAAACGGGGAUUAAUACUCCAUAGUAUCGCGAAUUCGCAUGUUUUUGUGAUUAAAGUUUUUCGGUAUGAGAUGGGCAUGCGUCCCAUUAGCUUGUUGGUGAGGUAACGGCUCACCAAGGCAACGAUGGGUAGGGGGCCUGAGAGGGUGGUCCCCCACACUGGUACUGAGACACGGACCAGACUCCUACGGGAGGCAGCAGUGAGGAAUAUUGGUCAAUGGAGGCAACUCUGAACCAGCCAUGCCGCGUGAAGGAUGACGGCCCUAUGGGUUGUAAACUUCUUUUAUAGAGGAAGAAACUUGUCUACGUGUAGACAACUGACGGUACUCUACGAAUAAGGAUCGGCUAACUCCGUGCCAGCAGCCGCGGUAAUACGGAGGAUCCAAGCGUUAUCCGGAUUCAUUGGGUUUAAAGGGUCCGUAGGCGGGUCUUUAAGUCAGUGGUGAAAGCCGACAGCUCAACUGUCGAACUGCCAUUGAUACUGGAGACCUUGAGUACAAAUGAAGUAGGCGGAAUGAGUCAUGUAGCGGUGAAAUGCAUAGAUAUGACUCAGAACACC
rnacentral:rRNA from 1 species